GUCCUUGCUUCGGCAGCACAUACACUAAAGUUGGAAUGAUACAGAGAAGAUUAGCGCGGCCCUGGAGCAAGGAAGAGGCACGGAUUUGUGAAGCAUUCCAUAGUUUU
ensembl:snRNA U6 U6 spliceosomal RNA